AUGGCGACGCUGCAGGGCGGGCAGCUGGGGCCUGACCCCGGGGCGCUGAGCCCCGCGCAGCUGGAGCAGCUGCGCAACUUCAAGAUUCAGACGCGGAUUGCCAACGAAAAGUACCUAAGAACCCACAAAGAAGUGGAGCUGCUCCUAAGUGGUUUUUUCAGGGAGAUGUUUCUGAAGAGGCCAGACAACAUCCGAGAAUUUGCCGCAGACUAUUUCACGGAUCCAAGACUUCCCAACAAGAUUCACAUGCAGCUAAUUAAGGAGAAGAAAGAGGCUUAAUUAGCAGAAUCCUGAUGCUCAGCUGUUGAGAGAGACCAGAAAGAAUCCAGCCUGGGGAGGGGAACAACACGGAACCACUUCUACCCAAUCUGGUCACCAUACGCCUAUUACUUCUACUGUUACAAAUACCGGAUCACCCUCCGGGAGAAGAUGCUGCCUUGUUGUUAUAAAAGCAUCACUUAUAAGGAACAGGAGGACUUGACACUCCGGCCCCGUUUCUGCCUUCAGUGCUCCUGAGUCCCCAGUAGGCCUCCAGAUGGGCAGGAGCACCACGCAGGGUGACCAUGACCAGCUUAAAGAACUGUAUUCGGCUGGGAAUUUGACGGUGCUGGCUACUGACGCUCUCCUCCACCAGGACCCAGUACAGUUAGAUUUCCAUUUCCGCCUCACCCCUCAGACCUCUGUCCAUUGGCACGGCCUUCUCUGUGACCGUCGACUUUUCCUGGAUAUCCCAUAUCGGGCCUUGGAUCAAGGCAACCAGAAAAGUUUGACUGCAACACUGGAGUACGUGGAGGAGAAGACCAAUGUGGACUCCGUGUUUGUAAACUUCCAAAAUGACCGUAAUGACAGAGGUGCCCUGCUACGUGCCUUCAGCUACAUGGGCUUUGAGCUGGUCAGACCAGGUCACCCUGCCCUCCCUCCCUGGGACAAUACCAUCUUUAUGGUGUAUCCCCUUGAAAGGGAUCUGGGCCAGCUGCCCACUAAGUCUCCCUGAGCAUGCUUAUCCAUACUCUCUGAGGGGCUGGAGGCCUUGAUACAUGGGACCCAGGAUGUGAUUCUGGACACCUCCUCCUAUCCUAGGAAUUAAAGGGUAGUGCAAUC